rnacentral:rRNA from 1 species
UGGUGGAGUGAUUUGUCUGGUUAAUUCCGUUAACGAACGAGACCUCGACCUGCUAACUAGUUCUGACAAUCUUCGGAUUGUUUGCACUUCUUAGAGGGACAUUUGGUGUUUAGCCAAUGGAAGUUCGAGGCAAUAACA